ACCCUCUGGCGGGCGGCCCGGCGAGCCGCACAGAGCACGGCGAGCGCACCGCGCGGCGGCCGGCCCGCGCCCUUAACCCUUCGCUGCGCGCCGCCCGGGGAGGCGGGCAUCUUUCUCAAAGAGUGGCUCGGGAUGGGGUGCGGGGGAGGGGAGACGAGGAUCGGAGGGCAAGGUUCCUUCCAGGUUUGGGAAGGGGGCGGGGAGCUGGGCGAUGAGGUAAUUUGAGCGGUGACGGGUCGGUCCUCGCGCGCCUCCCUGGGUCCCUGCACCUAGUUGGAGGGGACUGAACGACAACGGGGCGCUACUCAGGCAACCUGGGGGACUCCCCCAAGGGCUGUCAGGCUUCAGCUGGGAGCCGAUGCAACACCCCAGUGGGGAGGGGAGGUCGGCCAAUUCUAAUCCCGACGUGUCCUUGGUCCCAGGCGCUCGGAGCAGCAUCUGAGAGGGCUCACUCUGAUCAGCAGCUGCACGUUAAGCCGCAAACCGGCGUCGCUUCGGCGUUCCGGAACCCAGGCCUGGGGGCCGCGGGGAUUGCCUCUGCGUGCAACUCCGGAAAGUUUCAAGGGGUCCCCCGACUGCACAGGUCCGGAAAUCGGCUUUGAUAUGGAACUACUCCGCUCUAGCCUGGAAAGGAGACCCGCGCACUCCUCUCGCAGCUAAUUUCGGAUCAUUAAUUUAAUCGGAAAUGAGGUAACCAGUGUAGGAGACAGAGAAAGCAACCGGAGCAUCAAAUGGCAGUUCUCGAGAAUCGACGAGGAACUUAAAUCUGGACUCAGGGUUUCAGUGCGGUCUCCGACUCCCACCACCCCGCCCCUCCGCCUGUCUCGCCGCCAGGUGUGACCUCCACGCGAAGGAAUCUUCUUCGGAUGGGUGCACCUUGCCAACAGGUGUGGCACCUGGAGGACUAGGAGGCGCCUCCAGACUAAGGGCGCUCAGUGCGGCGUUCUUGUUGCAGAUGAUUCUGGAAGGCCGGUAGGUGUCGGGCGACAUUUGACCUUCUUCAGCUUCCCAGAGUCCUCUGUGACCAGAAUCGAAGCAUAGUGUCUGAAAGUAGCCUGGCCACACAAGAUGUGCAAAACACUAUAACCUCUUCACAGCCUCACUCCACUUUGUAUUUGAGGGAAAUGAUUCUAGAAGCUGAAAUAGACCAGAGUUCAACAGUCUGGGAAAUUUGAAGAAGGAAAAAGGAAGAGAGAAAAAAAAAAACCAAGCCCUGCAUUUGCAGAGAUGUGAAGAGAACCCAGCUCUCUGAAGUUGGAAGGAAGUGAGAAGACCCUAUUUGUGGCUGCAGGAGAGGAAAAGAAAAGAGACCCGCAAGGAAACUACCAACAGAUGAUUAUAUAGCUACCACACUAUUUGGCACAGCUGGGAUCCUCUUUUCAUGAAAUAGCAGGGAAGAUUGGUAGAUAAGAAUUAAAAAGCAUUGGCAGAGGAGACAGGGAGACUUACACAAUUACUUCCUACCCAGUGCCUUCCUGGUCUAGGAACUUCUUCCAGCCUCUUUUGGAGAGAGAGGAAUUUACUGUCUACUUGAUCAUGGUGGAUAAGCUUUUUGAUGUGCUGCUGGAUUUGGUUUGCCAGUAUUUUAUUGAGGAUUUUUGCAUCAAAAUGUGGCACAUAUACACCAUGGGAUACUAUGCAGCCAUAAAAACUGAUGAGUUCAUGUCCUUCGUAGGGACAUGGAUGAAGCUGGAAACCAUCAUUCUCAGCAAACUAUCGCAAGAACAAAAAACCAAACACCCCAUGUUCUCACUCAUAGGUGGGAAUUGAACAAUGAGAACACAUGGACACAGGAAGGGGAACAUCACACACCGGGGCCUGUUGUGGGGUAGGGGGAGGGGGGAGGGAUAGCAUUAGGAGAUACACCUAAUGUUAAAUGAUGAGGUAAUAGGUGCAGCACACCAACAUGGCACAUGUAUACAUAUGUAACAAACCUGCACGUGUACCCUAAAACUUAAAGUAUAAUAAAAAAAAUUAAAAAAAAGAAA